rnacentral:rRNA from 1 species
UACGUAGGGUGCGAGCGUUAAUCGGAAUUACUGGGCGUAAAGCGUGCGCAGGCGGUUCGCCAAGUCAGGUGUGAAAUCCCCGGGCUUAACCUGGGAAUUGCGCUUGAAACUAGCGGGCUUGAGUGUGGCAGAGGGGGGUGGAAUCCACGUGUAGCAGUGAAAUGCGUAGAGAUGUGGAGGAACACCGAUGGCGAAGGCAGCCCCCUGGGUCAAGAUUGACGCUCAUGCACGAAAGCGUGGGGAGCAAACAGG